rnacentral:tRNA from 1 species
GCCCGGGUGGUGGAAUUUGGUAGACACGUACGUUUGAGGGGCGUAUGGCUAUGCCGUGCGGGUUCAAAUCCCGCCCCGGGCA